CAUGCAAGUCGAGGGGAAACGACAUCGAAAGCUUGCUUUUGAUGGGCGUCGACCGGCGCACGGGUGAGUAACGCGUAUCCAACCUGCCCAUCACUUGGGGAUAACCUUGCGAAAGUAAGACUAAUACCCAAUGAUAUCUCUAGAAGGCAUCUGAAAGAGAUUAAAGAUUUAUCGGUGAUGGAUGGGGAUGCGUCUGAUUAGCUUGUUGGCGGGGUAACGGCCCACCAAAGCAACGAUCAGUAGGGGUUCUGAGAGGAAGGUCCCCCACAUUGGAACUGAGACACGGUCCAAACUCCUACGGGAGGCAGCAGUGAGGAAUAUUGGUCAAUGGACGAGAGUCUGAACCAGCCAAGUAGCGUGCAGGAUGACGGCCCUACGGGUUGUAAACUGCUUUUAUAAGGGAAUAAAGUGAGUCUCGUGAGACUUUUUGCAUGUACCUUAUGAAUAAGGACCGGCUAAUUCCGUGCCAGCAGCCGCGGUAAUACGGAAGGUCCGGGCGUUAUCCGGAUUUAUUGGGUUUAAAGGGAGCGUAGGCCGGAGAUUAAGCGUGUUGUGAAAUGUAGAUGCUCAACAUCUGCACUGCAGCGCGAACUGGUUUCCUUGAGUACGCACAAAGUGGGCGGAAUUCGUGGUGUAGCGGUGAAAUGCUUAGAUAUCACGAAGAACUCCGAUUGCGAAGGCAGCUCACUGGAGCGCAACUGACGCUGAAGCUCGAAAGUGCGGGUAUCGAACAGGAUUAGAUACCCUGGUAGUCCGCACGGUAAACGAUGGAUGCCCGCUGUUGGUCUGAAUAGGUCAGCGGCCAAGCGAAAGCAUUAAGCAUCCCACCUGGGGAGUACGCCGGCAACGGUGAAACUCAAAGGAAUUGACGGGGGCCC
rnacentral:rRNA from 1 species